rnacentral:lncRNA from 1 species
GUUCUGUAAAAAGUUGCUGAACUCCUCCAAUUGAUGAGGAUGUAAUCAUCUCCCCUUAAUAUCCAUAAUGUCUAAUUGUCUUCUCACAAAGAAUGCCUCCUCUUAUUUCAAGGAGUCUGGCCCCAGAAAUGGUGUCAACAUCAACACAAGAGCAAGAAGAUGAGUUUAGAGCACUCCUGCUGAGAUGGGGUUAUGUGAACCUCAUUCCGCAUUGGGUAGUGGGGACAGCAAGAGUAUCUCAUUUUCUGAGGAAGAAGAGAGAGUGGGCCAGCUGGCAGCUCCUGAAGACCACAGGGAACAGGAAAAGAGCCAACUGGAGCAGAUAGGCAAAAGGGUUGGGAGGUGCUUGGGGAGAGAGCGUGGGAAUGGGCAAAGAGAAGUCUUCAGAGGUAUCAUGGGAGUCACUGCACAAAGGUCUGAUCCUUCAGUUACUCUUCUGGGACAGGGUCUGCAGCCCAACUGCAUCUGUCAAGAUGGACUGUGGUGAAAGCCCUGCUCUGAUCGAUAGAGCUGAG